rnacentral:rRNA from 1 species
GGCAGCAGUAGGGAAUCUUCCGCAAUGGACGAAAGUCUGAUGGAGCAACGCCGCGUGAGCGAUGAAGGCCUUCGGGUCGUAAAGCUCUGUUGUCAGGGAAGAACAAGUACCGGAGUAACCGCCGGUACCUUGACGGUACCUGACCAGAAAGCCACGGCUAAAUACGUGCCAGCAGCCGCGGUAAUAGGUAGGUGGCGAGCGUUGUCUGGAAUUAUUGGGCGUAAAGCGCGCGCGGGCGGUUCCUUAAGUUUGAUGUGAAAGCCCCCGGCUCAACCGGGGAGGGUCAUUGGAAACUGGGGAACUUGAGUGCAGAAGAGGAGAGCGGAAUUCCACGUGUAGCGGUGAAAUGCGUAGAGAUGUGGAGGAACACCAGUGGCGAAGGCGGCUCUCUGGUCUGUAACUGACGCUGAGGCGCGAAAGCGUGGGGAGCGAACCGGAUUAGUUACCCUGGUUGUCC